CAGAGGGUGCGAGCGUUGUUCGGAAUUACUGGGCGUAAAGCGCGCGCAGGCGGUCCUUUAAGUCUACCCGUGAAAUGCCGGAGCUCAAUUCCGUGCACGCCGGGGGAUACUGGAGGACUGGAGGCGAGUAGAGGCAAGCGGAAUUCCGGGUGUAGCGGUGGAAUGCGUAGAGAUCCGGAAGAACACCGGAGGCGAAGGCGGCUUGCUGGGCUUGGUCUGACGCUGAGGCGCGAAAGCGUGGGGAGCGAACAGGAUUAGAUACCCUGGUAGUCCACGCCGUAAGCGAUGGGCACUAGACGCGGGUGGGAUCGACCCCUUCCGUGUCGCAGCUAACGCGCUAAGUGCCCCGCCUGGGGAGUACGGCCGCAAGGCUG
rnacentral:rRNA from 1 species